rnacentral:rRNA from 1 species
UACGUAGGGUGCAAGCGUUAAUCGGAAUUACUGGGCGUAAAGCGUGCGCAGGCGGCUUUGCAAGACAGAUGUGAAAUCCCCGGGCUCAACCUGGGAACUGCAUUUGUGGCUGCAUGGCUAGAGUUUGGCAGAGGGGGGUAGAAUUCCACGUGUAGCAGUGAAAUGCGUAGAUAUGUGGAGGAACACCGAUGGCGAAGGCGACUUCCUGGCCUGUUCUUGACGCUGAGGCGCGAAAGCUAGGGGAGCAAACAGG